rnacentral:piRNA from 1 species
CAAAUAAACAGUCGAAAACUA